UAAUUAUUGAAUUUUAUUGCAGCUUUUAUAUCUUAUUAAUACCUAACCGUGGUUUGCUCCACAAUAUCUCCUCUGUACCUUAACCCUUAUUCCCACAAUUAAAUUGAAUACAAUAUAGCGUUUAUAAAAAACGACCGUUUUUAUACCGGCGAGGUAAAAGCAACAGGACAGCCUAAAAUCGAAAUAGGACUAUUAAAACACCAAUUAUUUGCACAGCCCCCAAAAAAACUUAUUUGUAAUUAUGCGACGUAUUUCUCGUUAUUACCUGCUAUUUUUAUUAUUUUGUUGCGACGCAGAACGUGUUUAGCGUAUUACGGCCAUUGCUUUUCCUCGACGUAUUUUACCAACCGGCGGACAUACCAAAUAAUCCUAUAAAUGCCAAUUAUAUUGCUGGUAUUGCCAAUUGUAAAUUCCGUUUAUAAUAUUGUCUUACCACCGUCGCAGCCCUCCUUUGUAAAUUGGUGGUAGGGGAAAUUAUCCCUUUUAAAAUAAUAUUUAAAGGUUAAGGCCCGAAUCGUCCACAAAUUUUUAUAUUUCCAAAAUGUUACGCCAAUUUAACCAAAUAUAAUGUAUUUCCACCGUUUUUUAAAUAUUACGUACAGCCCAUUUUCCACCUUUUUGCUGUUUAAUACCCAAUUCCGGGGCAAGGUAUAUUAUUUGCGAUUGUUGGAACGUCUGGUUUUAUCCACCAUGUCCAAUUCGAAAAAAAAGGCGAAAAUUUUUUAUAAACCGGAAAUACCUUUUACCGAUAAUAAAUUAAAGACGGGCCGAAACCAGGACCUUUUGUCGGAAAGUACAAUAUCGGUUUUAAACACCGCUCCAAUAUGGACUGUCUGAGGAAAUAUUGCUGUUUAGCUAUAUUAAAUUGGAAUUCUUAUUUAAAACGUUCCGUGUAAUUUAUUUUAUAAUUUUAUUUAAAGGUAUAAAUCGCGCAAAACAGUGAUAAAAUUGUUAAAAGCUUUUUAUCCCCAAUCCUAUAUUUCCCCUGCCAACCGUUCCUUCUCGUUUGCAAAACCAUUAAAUACCGAUUUAAUUUUUAAAUUAUAACAGCCAAACCGUAUAUAUGCGUUAAUAAUCGCGUUAUUCCAUCGUUUGUUAUUUUUCGCUAAUUAACGGAAACCUGUUAUAACAAUUUUAUAUGUUUUUAAUCCAUUUUCGGUCCAAACCCCAAACGUAUAAAAAUUUUGCAGCGACCUGUAAGUUUUUUUAUAUUUAUUAAUGGUAUAUUAAAACUGUGCUGCAAUUAUAAAUUUGGUUAAAAAGUAAAUUAUAUCGAUUUCGCAGCAAGGAAAAAAUAAGCAAAACCUCCUAAAAAUCUUAAAUUAUUUCGCCAAUCGUUUUAAAGCGGUUGUAAACUUUUUUUUAAAAUUAUGGUUUUGGCCAUUAGAUUAUCGGUUGGUUUUUUGUGGUUUCGGCAAUAAUAUCUUUAUUGGGAGUUGCACCAAAAGGAAAGCGAUCCGCGUAUCCGAAUAAUGUUGGACCGAUUAUAUUAUAAAUAUAAUCGCCAAUGGUUAAAUUGCACAAAUACGUUAAAAUAUACCGUUAAACGAAAACGUUUACCUGGGCUGGUAAAAACUUUUUUGCAACCAGGCAAAAUAUAAGGACAAUAACGUAAAUACCACAAUUAUGUAAGUUUUCCUGCCGGGUACAAAAGGUUUUAUAAUAUUUUAUUUAUUCGGGUUUUAAUAUGGAUAUAUUGGCAAUUGGUGUUGGAUUAACCUCCGUAUAUGGUUGAAAAAUGUUUUUGGGAUGGGUAAUGUAAAAUCUUUAAAAAAAUCGUAAAAAAUGGCGUAUUUGGUGCCAAAUUCCAAUACAGGGAGGGCCCUGUAAUUUUCCAAAUGGAAAAUGCAUAUAAUCUUAUUUUCGGUUAAUUUUCCACACCAUAUUUGCUGGCUGGUACUGGUUUUGGUAAUUUUUUGAAAUAUAUAAAGGGUGGGAAGUAGUUGUUAACCGUAACAAAAAACGAACUGAGCGUUGCACCCAUGGUAAAUAACGCACUAAUAUAAUUAUCGUUUAACCGACCUUUUAAAAAUACCAAAUCGGCCAUAUCGUCUGCUGUUAAAAAUUACCAAAGCAACCUGCUGGUUGGACCGCGUAAGGCAAUACGGCUGCUAGGCCUUAUAUGCUCCGAAAUGCGUAACGUCUUUAUACCUAAAUUGGCAAAAGGCCGGUUUGUCCAACAAAUUGGCGAUGGGCUAUCGGCGACGACAACGUCUUUGUUUGCAUCGGAACCGGGUGCACCGGAACCGAGAAAAUACGUUCGAGACCGGUAUAAAAUUAGGCGGCGGCUAUCGGAAUGCGCCGGCUCGACAUUUGCAACCGUAUUUGAUAUUUGGGGUAAAUGGGGAUCGGUGGGAGCAAAAUCUGAUCCGAUCGUCGUAUUGGCAGCGGAUUAUCGCAUCUUUGGGGGUUCAACCUACGCUUGGUCGCGCAGGUAAUAUUUUUCCGAAUGCGUUUGGCGGGAGGGUUUCCAUUAUCGCGGCGGUACCUUAUGGCAGACGACGGUGCGGCCGAAAACGGGUUCGCAUCGGGGGAGGUAUCGGUCUCAGGUCCAAGCCAUUUGUUAAACUUUUGGUGGCAAAGUUAGUCGUGCAUUUUUGGGGCGUCGCUUAAAGCAAACAUAUUUGACAUUGGCUCCCAGGUCGCUGCAUUGCCCUUAUACCCAACCCAAUAUAUUAACAGCUGUGGGAAUUUGCCUAAUUUGUGAUAAAAUAUUUUGAAAAUGCGGAAUAUAUUGCAUUUGAUAAUUCUUUCCCGAAUUUAGUUGAAUGACGCCCAGAAUUUGAUGAUUAUUGCCUUAUCCCGGCGUUGCAUCUCUUCCUCAGGUACCUCCCUGCCAUUUUUGCCUUAAAUAAUAAACUUGACGGUGGUCCGUUAAUUGUUGAUUGCCCAAUUGUCGAUUGUCUCGUCGUUAUCACUGUUCUUACCUGCAUCGUCUUUCUAAUUAAAAUUUGCGAUUAUUGUUAGAAAGGGUCUAGGCUAUUUUAAAGCGUAAUAAUGUUAAAUAAACUACCUACGUUGCUGCAUAAUCGCGGCUAUGUGGGAUAUAGCCACUGAUCGAACGCGGGUCGCAUUUAACGUGGACGAAUGCGAAGGUUUGCGUGGUUUGCGUGGUGGUUGAUUCAGAUGACAAAAAGCGAUUGUUUGCGCAGUCGACGCGUUAACGCGUUCGGUGGUAUGCGCUGCGUAAUAUUAGCAAAGGGAGACGAAUGGCCAGGUUACCCCGCCCCAAAGGGCAAUUUUUCGGGCGUAAAUAGGAUUAAUUAUAUCGAUUUAAUUGGAUAGGGAACGGUUAAUAAGACUAAAAUUAUUUAA
rnacentral:sRNA from 1 species